GUAUUGCGGUGUUUGCGGACCCGAGGAUGAACGGGGAUGGCGGCGGCUUCAUGAAAGGAGCUGAACAUGCGGCGGCCUGAACUCUUCCAAGGGGCUAACCUCCAUCUCGUCAAUUGCAGGAGCACGACCGGGAGAACCAUUUUGGCAUCAGUCGGAUUGGAGGCGGGAGGUCAAGCUGAACGCGAAGACGUCGGGAGAGGAGAGCAGUGCGGAGGAAGGAGGGCAGAGGCCAAGACCCGGCCAGCAGGACAGCCACCACGCCGCCUUCUUCUCACCUCCGUGACGCCAUCCUCCUCUGUGUAUUCGCGCCCAGAUGUCGAGUCCUCAUCAACUCAGCUGCUACUGACUAAGCCUCCAGCUGAAACUAUACCUCUGUAGUUGGCGGACGAAACAUAGGUAAUGCCCACUUGUUCUACUGCCUAAAACUAAUAUUAUCUGUUGUUUCUUCUUGCGUCUUAACUAAUUCAUUUGAAAGACACAUGGUUGGAAGCAUGGAAAACGCCUGUCAUCUUUUGGUCUCACACAUAUAUACCUUUAUAUCUGAAACAGUCACCUGAUUUUGGGUGAAAAUUAGCACACUUAAUCUGUGUUGCACAAGUAUAUGUGAUAAGACUUAUAUAUGUGAUAAGAUGGUGAUGAUAAGGUCAAUUUUGAGCUAUUGGGCUGCACUCAGUAAGCUCCUUGAUUAGUAUGUUAAACACGCUAGAGUUUUCUUGUGCCCCAUUCUGUUCUGAUAUGGUAGUUUCUGCCUGGGGAUUUCAAACAUCUUAUGUACUAUUACUAUAUAAAUUGAGAGCUUCAAUACAGUAGAGCAUUAGGCGCUUGGUAGCACCCAGACCAAGUGGUACACUACUCUCCUCAACUCCAUUAACUAUGACAUUUUUUUAAAUGGUAAGAAGAAUGGUAAGGGUGAAUACAUGUCUAGCUCUUUCUGAAAGGUAUUUCAUUUUUCCAAGACAAAUUUAGCAGGUUUCAGAUUUUGUGUCUACUAAACACUCCCUUUUUGUGCUUGAAUUAUUAUACAGACACCACAUAAUGUCUUGUUCGAAGACAACUAAUUAAAUAAAUGUGUGGACUAAACUGUAUUUUGUUGGGACCAUCCACUGGGAUUUUAGACCAGACCACACAGUUAAUUGCAUGCCAAUGCAGUAAUAUUGGGUGAAGGACAGUGCUUGAAAACAAAUUAAAAAAACCUGGACUCACAGAAAGAAGUACAUGUGUUUUGGAAUCCUUAACAUGUAAUUGCAAUCUGCCAAUCUAUACGUAAAUUUAUGUGUCUAUUUAAAAUUUAGUAUUAGCUCAUAAUCACAUGAUUUAAGAAUGGGAAGUGAAAUUUCAGCAAAAGGUAAGGCCCUGUUCUGCUUAUCAUGGCCACAAAUAACCUAAUUUUGAGAAUGAUAUCGCCCACCCUAUGUACAGUCUGUAGUGUUUCGCCCAAUUUUGAGAAUCAGAUCACCCCUCCUAUGGCUAUCCGUGUAGAGGAACUAAGAAAGGUGAGGCAGAAAUGACAUCAUUUGUUUUUCUCAAAAGCUGAAUAUGUGUUAUGCGUAGUAUCUAUUUUAUUUUGUUACUUUGCCGGUUCUCCAUCAGUGCUGAUAAUGUUGUUGGCUGGUUAUAUGCUCCAUUGUUUUUUACAUGCUUCCUUCUUUGAUUUCUAGGUGAUGGAAUUUUCCAUCCUCUACUAAUUAAUGGGUGUUUGUACCUCACUGAUCCAAUAUAACUAUAUUACUUAGUCGGCAAACACCAAAACUUGGUAAUGAGUUUACCUCUUUCAUGCACGAGAUGGAAUCUUAUCCAUUGGUGGAGGAGCUCGAGAGCUCAGUACAGAUCCGCGCAAUGUCCCGCACCUCUCAGCCAUCAGGCCCAAUACGUGUUCCAGUUCAGCUUCAUCGCGUCCCAGAGAUACGAGACACAGUAAAUUUUGGAUAAGAUAAGAUGGUUUCAUUUGAUCUCAAGAGUAUAGAGUAUGGACCUGGAAUCAUUUUGCUCGGACGGGUAGAAGCCUUAUACAUAUGGUUAGUGAAGUUUGAUGUUAAGUGCAAUUUAGCGACUUCAUUGCUUUUUAGUAUUUAGUACUACAUGGUUACUGAAUUUGAUGAUGGUUCAUUCCAAAAUUAUUCUUAGUUUAAGUUGCCUUUUGUGUGCAGGUUAUAGCAUGAAAUUAGCUGAAGUGGACCAAGAUGCACUUUUUGUCUGAGUUGUUCCGCAGGGAAAGCAGUGUUCUCCUCGACGACAACAUCAACGGGUGGUUUUUACACCAUCAGGAUCAGUAAGGAGCAUCCGGAAUUAAAGAACAGAUAUGGUUACAAGCAAACUCCCUUUCAAUCUGAGAACAAAGGUGAAUAGCAAAAUCUUUGGUUGUGAUUCUGUUUGUUAGUCGGCAAGUUGGUAGUAGUAGAUUAAGUAGUCAAAAUGGUCUACUAUAUUGCUAUAUAUUGGUUGAUGCAUGGAUCUUUUGAUGAUAAGAAAAGAAGACAUGCCAAAGAAGAUCAUUUUAUUCAAAUAGUACAGGAAGUGCUUAUUGAUGAUGAAAAUAUUUUCAUAUUUCUCGCUUUCAUGGACAACAGAUGAGCCUAAGGGUUGUCACUUUGUAUCACCUAAUUUUGUUGAACAAAUCCCUUUGUUAGCAUUUAGUUCAAUACAUUGAAAGGGAGAUAAUUUUGUUCUUCGACUAAAAAUGCAUGUUUUGGUUGUUCAUAUUGCAAUAGGAUAGCAUUCUUCUCAAGAUAUAUUUGUUCUGAUAUAAUUGAAUAUUCUUGUUUGUGCAUGUUCCUUGAAAAUAAGUGAACAUAAAAUUUUCAAACCUAUUAUCUGAAGUACUUGCUCACCAUAGACCAGCCGUAAUUUGAUCAUGCCCAUUCCGUUUCAAAAAAAAAAAUCAUGCCCAUUAUUUAGUUUCAUGCUCCAUGAUGCAUUUUUUACUAGAAAGCCUAUUGCAAUUUGGUUGUAGCUUGCUUCACAUACUUGAUGUAAGAGGGACUUAUUCUUUAGAAUUAUUGAUGCGUCAAAGUCUGUAUCUUUGCUCAGUUGUCGUGUUGGUCACUGCAUUAAUGCAACAUUUAGUUAAUAUGUUAAUAUUUUUUUCUCAAUGGAUCAUCUUCAGUUCGCUUCUCAAGCGAAACCACUAUACAAAGGCCUAGAGGAAAUAACUGAUUCAUCCUGAGGAAGGUGAGCUCGAAAGUUCAGAUUCCUCAUGGUUGACGCAUCAGAUGUGAAAACCCAUUCACACUGAACUAAUUCAGCUCGAACGUUCAAAUUCCGCUUGGUUGAUGCAUCAAAACCUAUCCACCCUCAAUACGUGAACUAAUUCCAUGCCUGCUUAUGUUGAUAACUCAUUGGUAGUUCCACAAGGAAUCCGGGGCAUCUUAGGAAGCGAAUACGGCUAACGUUGCUGCAGUAGGUUCCUCAUGUCAGGCUCAGUGAUGACACACGUGUGUCUGAUGGAGGAAAUCUGAGUGCACAUUGCAUUUCUUGUGACUGUAAUAUAGUGUAGUCAUGAUCAAAUAUAUCAUUAACGUGAGAUGAGAUAGUGUCACACAAAUAUGUAUUUCUUGAGUCUUGUUAAUACUUAUUCUUCAUGCAGAUAAACAUGGUCCAGUCUUUCAGAAGUAUAGCAGACUAUGACAGUAAUGAAAACAUUGUUGUUGAUUCAGUAUUUUGGAACCACAUCAUCCGUUUCAACACAUUUAGUAGAAUAAGCAUGGACGCAUGUUGACAGAAACUCUAAAUAGCAGAUGAUUACUCAUUCUGUACAAUUUUUCAUGCUUCCUUUGUACCAUCACAUAGAUACGCAGAUAACCAAUGAUUUCUAGAGACCAUGAGGUAUGUGUUUGAGCGUUUCAUAGUUGUCUCUUUCAUCGGUAGCGAGUAAGUGGUCUGCAGCUUCUCAAUUUUGCUUUUCUCAAAUGUUCUUUGGUGGUUGCUAGAUCCAUGCUAGAUCAGUAUGUGGUUUUUGAAGCCUUAGCUAGCUAAUUUGAUUUGAAGCAAACAUUUCUUUAUCCUUCCAAAUAGUGCAAUUUAGAUCUCCAGUUCUCUUCCCUUCUGUUAUUUAGAUGUUAUUUAGAGUAAAAAUGUUCCGAACAAAAGUGUUGGCUGUGAUCUAAAAAAAGUUUUGUUGUCUCGCUGUCAGGAGCAGACCGUCGCAACCGCUUGCUUCGCCAUGAAUUUUCCUCUAGAUCUGGUCCAAAGGGGAAGUGAUGGAGCAUGAUGUUGAAGAGAACGAAUGUGAGAAAGAUGGGGAUAGCACACGGUGG